AUGAAAUUCUAUUAUACCAAAGGGACUUGGUAAAGGCGAAGGCAGCCCUCUAUGUAAAAACUGACGUUGAAGGACGAAGGCACAGAGCACAAACAGGAUUAGAUACCCAAGUAGUCUUUGCAGUAAAUGAUGAAUGUCAUAGGUUAGAUUAAGCUUUAAUUAAUUAGUUUAUCAGUAAUGAACUAACUAUUAAACAAUAUUUAGUCUAUAAAUGAAAGUGUAAGCAUUCCACCUCAAGAGUAAUGUGGCAACGCAGGAACUGAAAUCACUAGACCGUUUUUGACACCAGUAGUGAAGUAUGUUGUUUAAUUCGAUGAUCCACGAAAAACCUUACCACAAUUUGAAUAUUUUACAGGAGUUGCACGGCUGUUUUCAGUUAAUGUUGUGAAACUGUGGUUUCCAUGAAAUUAACGCAAUCCCUGGCUUUAUUUUUUUUUUAUUACGAUAAAGCAUUUGAUCCAGGAUUUGGAAAGAAAAAGGGGACAAAGACAAGUCAUCAUGGCCUUGAUAUUGUGGGCUAUAGACGUGCCACAUAUUCCUACACAAAGAGAUGCAAAAAUGUGAAUUUAAGCUAAUCUCUAAAAAUAGGAUAUAAAUUUUAAGGAUUAUAGUCUGAAACUCGACUAUAUGAAUAAGUAAUUACUAGUAAUCGUGAAUCACCAUGUCACGGUGAAUUUACCUUGGAUUGGUACUAACCACUCGUCACAUGCUGAAAAGAGCAUGCGCAAUAAGUUUGCUUUCUUGAUGAUCAGUAAAAAGAAUAAGCAGGUUCUAUAUUCUAUUAUUAAG
rnacentral:rRNA from 1 species